GCUAGGAAAUAUCUAGAAGUUUGCUCCACAGAGAGAGGGGAACUAGCUGAAUUUAAGGGCUUUAGGGUUAGUGUUGGAGUUUGUGCAACUUGAAUCAGAGCAAACUGAAGGUGUUUAGGAGGCCCAUCUGUUGAGUCCUGUACCAGGAAGCUCCAUAAGGUGAAUUAUCACAUUGCAAUGAGGUUCUUAGAAGUUACAUGGAGAGAGAUCGUUGAGUGCUGAUUCCUUUCAGUUACUGGUCGACUCAACACUCAUCAUGGGGAGGCCAGAGGCAUGCUGGGAUCUGCUCACCAUCUAGAGACACGGUGACACCUUUCCUCUUCUCAGCCCUGGGAUCAUGUGACUCACCAACUGCCCCAAUCAGGACCUCUCUACAUGCUUCUCCAGCCACACCUACCACACUCUACAACUCCCUCCAAGACAGGACCACCAUGAGGAAAGUGAUACCUGAUUCCACACCGCAGCCACAGCUGCUGCUACCAAGCCCAAACAUUCACCCUCCCCAAGAAGGAAUCAACCUAUGUAACGGAGUGCAGAGAGCAUCAAGUCAGGAAAAAGAACUAAUGACACUUAACCUGACUGCCUAGAGCGAGAGCCACCCAGUCUUUUCUUGUGUAAA